AUUGAACGCUGGCGGCAUGCCUAACACAUGCAAGUCGAGCGGAUGAAGGGAGCUUGCUCCUGGAUUCAGCGGCGGACGGGUGAGUAAUGCCUAGGAAUCUGCCUGGUAGUGGGGGAUAACGUCCGGAAACGGGCGCUAAUACCGCAUACGUCCUGAGGGAGAAAGUGGGGGAUCUUCGGACCUCACGCUAUCAGAUGAGCCUAGGUCGGAUUAGCUAGUUGGUGGGGUAAAGGCCUACCAAGGCGACGAUCCGUAACUGGUCUGAGAGGAUGAUCAGUCACACUGGAACUGAGACACGGUCCAGACUCCUACGGGAGGCAGCAGUGGGGAAUAUUGGACAAUGGGCGAAAGCCUGAUCCAGCCAUGCCGCGUGUGUGAAGAAGGUCUUCGGAUUGUAAAGCACUUUAAGUUGGGAGGAAGGGCAGUAAGUUAAUACCUUGCUGUUUUGACGUUACCAAAAGAAUAAGCACCGGCUAACUUCGUG
rnacentral:rRNA from 1 species